rnacentral:rRNA from 1 species
ACACGACUCUCGGCAACGGAUAUCUCGGCUCUCGCAUCGAUGAAGAACGUAGCGAAAUGCGAUACCUGGUGUGAAUUGCAGAAUCCCGCGAACCAUCGAGUCUUUGAACGCAAGUUGCGCCCGAGGCCAUUCGGCCGAGGGCACGCCUGCCUGGGCGUCACGCA